rnacentral:rRNA from 1 species
UACGAAGGGGCUAGCGUUGCUCGGAAUCACUGGGCGUAAAGGGUGCGUAGGCGGAUUGUUAAGUCAGGGGUGAAAUCCUGGAGCUCAACUCCAGAACUGCCUUUGAUACUGGCGAUCUCGAGUCCGGGAGAGGUGAGUGGAACUGCGAGUGUAGAGGUGAAAUUCGUAGAUAUUCGCAAGAACACCAGUGGCGAAGGCGGCUCACUGGCCCGGUACUGACGCUGAGGUGCGAAAGCGUGGGGAGCAAACAGGG